rnacentral:rRNA from 1 species
GAUGAACGCUAGCUACAGGCUUAACACAUGCAAGUCGAGGGGUAACGAGAGGAAAGCUUGCUUUCCUUGUUGACGACCGGCGCACGGGUGAGUAACGCGUAUCCAACCUGCCCCCAACUAGGGAAUAACCUUGCGAAAGUAAGACUAAUACCCUAUAAUUUCCUCAGAUGUCAUCUGACGAGGAAUAAAGAUUUAUUGGUUGUGGAUGGGGAUGCGUUUGAUUAGCUUGUGGGCGGGGUAACGGCCGACCAAGGCAACGAUCAGUAGGGGUACUGAGAGGAAGGUCCCCCACAUUGGAACUGAGACACGGUCCAAAUUCCUACGGGAGGCAGCAGUGAGGAAUAUUGGUCAAUGGGCGGAAGCCUGAACCAGCCAAGUAGCGUGCAGGAUGACGGCCCUAUGGGUUGUAAACUGCUUUUAUACAGGAAUAAAGUUAGCCACGUGUGGUUAUUUGUAGGUACUGUAUGAAUAAGGACCGGCUAAUUCCGUGCCAGCCGCCGCCGUAA